CGGACGGGUGAGUAAUGUCUGGGAAACUGCCCGAUGGAGGGGGGUAACUACUGGAAACGGUAGCUAAUACCGCAUAACGUCGCAAGACCAAAGAGGGGGACCUUCGGGCCUCUUGCCAUCGGAUGUGCCCAGAUGGGAUUAGCUAGUAGGUGGGGUAAAGGCUCACCUAGGCGACGAUCCCUAGCUGGUCUGAGAGGAUGACCAGCCACACUGGAACUGAGACACGGUCCAG
rnacentral:rRNA from 1 species